AUACGUAGGGGGCUAGCGUUAUCCGGAAUUACUGGGCGUAAAGGGUGCGUAGGUGGUUUCUUAAGUCAGAAGUGAAAGGCUACGGCUCAACCGUAGUAAGCUUUUGAAACUAAGAGACUUGAGUGCAGGAGAGGAGAGUAGAAUUCCCAGUGUAGCGGUGAAAUGCGUAGAUAUUAGGAGGAAUACCAGUUGCGAAGGCGGCUCCCGGAAAUGUAGGAAACGCUGGUGCACGAAAGUGUGGGGAGCAAACAGGGUUCAAUCCCCUGGUCCUCCACGCCGUAAACGAUGAGUACUAGCUGUCGGGGGUUACCCCCCUCGGUGGCGCAGCUAACGCAUUAAGUACUCCGCCUGGGAAGUACGCUCGCAAGAGUGCAACUCACAUGAAUUGACAGGG
rnacentral:rRNA from 1 species